rnacentral:rRNA from 1 species
AUCGGGAUAACACCUGGAAACAGAUGCUAAUACCGGAUAACAACAGAUGAUGCCUAUCAACUGUUUAAAAGAUGGUUCUGCUAUCNACUCUUGGAUGGACCUGCGGUGCAUUAGCUAGUUGGUAGGGUAACGGCCUACCAAGGCGAUGAUGCAUAGCCGAGUUGAGAGACCUGAUCGGCCACAUUGGGACUGAGACACGGCCCAAACUCCUACGGGAGGCAGCAGUU